AGACCCGAAACCCGGUGAUCUAGCCAUGGGCAGGUUGAAGGUUGGGUAACACUAACUGGAGGACCGAACCGACUAAUGUUGAAAAAUUAGCGGAUGACCUGUGGCUGGGGGUGAAAGGCCAAUCAAACCGGGAGAUAGCUGGUUCUCCCCGAAAGCUAUUUAGGUAGCGCCUCGUGAAUUCAUCUCCGGGGGUAGAGCACUGUUUCGGCUAGGGGGCCAUCCCGGCUUACCAACCCGAUGCAAACUGCGAAUACCGGAGAAUGUUAUCACGGGAGACACACGGCGGGUGCUAACGUCCGUCGUGAAGAGGGAAACAACCCAGACCGCCAGCUAAGGUCCCAAAGUCAUGGUUAAGUGGGAAACGAUGUGGGAAGGCCCAGACAGCCAGGAUGUUGGCUUAGAAGCAGCCAUCAUUUAAAGAAAGCGUAAUAGCUCACUGGUCGAGUCGGCCUGCGCGGAAGAUGUAACGGGGCUAAACCAUGCACCGAAGCUGCGGCAGCGACACUGUGUGUUGUUGGGUAGGGGAG
rnacentral:rRNA from 2 species